AGAUUGUUUAUUUUUUUUGCAUGAGGAAGUCGAGAAGGAAAUGGUGACUGUGCUUGAAUCUGAAAAUGCCGCAAGUGACGUGUGAUAAUGAGUGGAAAAUAGUGUAAUCAAAGAAUGGAACAAAACGAGCAAAGAUUGUAGUGGAAGACAAGGACUGGACCAAUAAUGUAUUUCUUAUUGGACAAGGAGAUUCAAUUGGGAAAUCCAUUUGUAAUAUCGAGGACUGUGAAGGAACUGGUGGAAAAGUGGAUUCAAUCAAGGUGACUAGAAGCGGCCUUCUUUUAGUUAAUUCUGUUGAUGAAGAACAGAAGAAGUGUGCACUGGAUCUGGCAAAAUUGUCCAUGCCAGAGGUAACAUGUUUUGAUCUUCGGAGCAGGGCGCCUACCAAAGGAGUUAUAGCUGGAGUCUCGUUGGAUACAGAUGAUGAGUACCUUAGUCAGAAAAUCUCAGGAGUGGUCAGUGCACUUCGCUUGACCCGUAUAUGGUGAAUGGAAGGAAGGAGAAAAGCCUGUUGAUAUUAUUGUUCUUUGAGGAGACUGAAUAUGUGAGGUAUGCGGUCAGAGCAUUUGUGUCCAAACCAUUACAAUGUGGAAAUUGUAAAGGAUAUGGUCACGUAUCAAAUGUUUGCAGACAGGAGAAGUAUGAUAUUGAAGAAUCUGUGAAUGGAAAAUGUUGCAUUUGUGUUGGGGAUCAUACUCCGGACUUCCUUGAGUGCCCUAUUAGGGCGAAGGAGGUUGAGGUGUCAAGGGUCAGGGUUGCACAGCGGAUCUCCUAUGUGGAGGCCGGUGAAGUCAAAGGGGCAAGAGGCAACAUUGUUGAAGAUAUGGCGGUGGAUGCAUUGCAACCAGUUGCUAUUGUUUCAAGUCAAUCGGGUGACCUGGAUACACUCAUUGUGAAGAAGGUGGAUUUUGUGGCAUUUAUAGCCACAGUGACUAAUUGCACAGCACAAGUGUCUAAGAAGUCCAAGAAGCUGGAUAUCAUUAUAUCUGCAACCGACGGAAGCACUACAAGGACUGUUGUUGCUAGGAAAUGUCCCGUCCUCACAGGAGCCUGUGUUGAGACCUGAUUCGAAUGAGGUUUUUACAGAAAAGCAGGUUGAUUUUGUUUAUUUAAUAUUUAUUUAUUUUUACCAAAAUAUUUUCCUUUUUGGGAUCCUUGUUAUCCUCCCGCAAAGUAGGUGGCAGAAUGCACAUCUAACUACCACAAGACGGUCAUAUCUUCUUCCUUCCCAUCCUGACUGGGAUUUACAGUGCCCUGGAGACACAGCCCGUGAUAAGAACAUCCAUGACUCUGUCAGUGCCCAGAUCAAGAAGAUCUUUACCAAGAGCUAAUGGAAGCUGAGGGGGGCUGCUCCCAGAGUGUGGAUCAGAUCAAGACUCCCUGACCAACUGUACCCACCGCUAACCUGCAACCAGCUGCAUCUGUUCCCCCGGACACAAAGGGUGUUGCCAACCAAUGACUUUCCCACGAUAUACCUGUGGAGUCCAGAGAAACUCCCCAGUCUGGCCCAGAACACAGAGCUGUUGUUCCAAAGAAAAGGAGAGCUAUUGUAUGUACCCACUGCAUUCCUGGGUGAUAUUAUUUUGAGAGUGGGACAGAGCUUGUAAAGUGUUUUUACUCAUGCUUUUCAAAAUGUACCUCUGCUUUCCCCCCCCCAUCUCUGUGUUUCUGUACAUGAUUUUUAUAAUCGUUAUUAUCCUUCCCUGUUCACAACAUAGGACUGAGCCACUGAUGUUACCUGCAUGAUCAGAUGACAGGCAGACAGGUUCUCAUGCAUGUUGACUGGCAACAGGUGUUUUUAUAGCAUGACAAGUCUACUGAAGAACUAUACUGAACAAAAACAUAAACGCAACCAUUUCAAAGAUUUUACUGAGUUACAGUUCAUGUGAGGAAAUCAGUCAGAUAAUCUUGGCAAAGGAGAAAUGCUCACUAACAGGGAUGUAAACAAAUCUGUGCACAACAUUUGAGAGAAAUAAGCUUUCUGUGCAUGGACAAUUUCUGGGAUCUUUUAUUUCAGCUCAUGAAACAUGGGACCAACACAUGUUGUGUUUAUAUUUUUUUUCAGUGUAUGUGGUACCACCCAUUGUGGAAUAGUUUCCAUACAGCAGAUAAUGCAGCUAAUACUUCACGAGAGAUGGACUUACAUGAAGUGCUGUUCCUCAAACUAAGAAUAGGUCUCAUUUAACCCAGUUUUACUCUUGUUUAAACAACAUUCUAACCUGAUAGGGCAAUAUGAUCCUGUUGAUAAAGACUCUUUUAUGGGGAGUUUCAACCUGGAUUUGAACUGGUCAAAACUUUAUCUAUUUAAGUUAAGACCAUGGGAGAUAUGAACUCAGUUUAAGAGCACGGAAUAGAUAUGCACGAAUAGAAAGCCAAAUAUAUGUUUUUUACUGUGUAGAUACAACCAACCCCCUUUGGAUCACCCUUCCAUGGAUCUUUUCUUCAUUCAUAUUGGGGUUGAUUUUUCAAGCAAUUGUAUGUGUACAGAGAGAACUUGAAUGUAAAUAUUAAUCCAGUCAUCUCACUUCAUUAAAUGUCACUCACCAUAAGGUCA